GGUAGGGUGGCCGAGAAGGUGGUGGAUUGUAGCUCCAUGUACAGAGGUUUUAGCCCUCUUCCUGCCA
rnacentral:tRNA from 1 species